GCUACAUUAGCUCAGUUGGUCAGAGCACUUGAUUUGUACCCAAGGGGUCGCAGGUUCGAGCCCUGCAUGUAGCUCA
rnacentral:tRNA from 1 species